GAUGAACGCUGGCGGCGUGCCUAAUACAUGCAAGUCGAGCGAACAGACGAGGAGCUUGCUUCUCUGAUGUUAGCGGCGGACGGGUGAGUAACACGUGGAUAACCUACCUAUAAGACUGGGAUAACUUCGGGAAACCGGAGCUAAUACCGGAUAAUAUUUUGAACCGCAUGGUUCAAUAGUGAAAGACGGUUUUGCUGUCACUUAUAGAUGGAUCCGCGCCGCAUUAGCUAGUUGGUAAGGUAACGGCUUACCAAGGCAACGAUGCGUAGCCGACCUGAGAGGGUGAUCGGCCACACUAGAACUGAGACACGAUCCAGACGCCUACUGGAGGCAGCAGUAGUGGAGCUUCCGCAACGGUCGAAAAACGGACGGAGCAACGACGCGGGGGGAAUGAAGAUCUUCGGAUCGUAAAACUCUGUUAUUAUUGAAGAAGAAAAUAUGAGGUAACAAUGCACGUCUUGACGGUAGCUAAUAAGAAGGCAACGGCUAAAUACGUG
rnacentral:rRNA from 1 species